rnacentral:rRNA from 1 species
UACGUAGGUGGCGAGCGUUGUCCGGAUUUACUGGGCGUAAAGCGCGCGCAGGCGGUUCUGUAAGUCCUGGGUGAAAUCGCCCGGCUCAACUGGGCGGGGGCCUGGGGGACUGCGGGACUGGAGGGGCCUAGAGGCCAGUGGAACUCCCGGUGUAGUGGUGAAAUGCGUAGAGAUCGGGAAGAACACCAGUGGCGAAGGCGGCCGGCUGGGGGCGCCCUGACGCUGAGGCGCGAGAGCGUGGGGAGCGAACCGG